rfam:Acidovorax citrulli AAC00-1, complete genome.
CCCUCCGAGGAGCGUUGCAGCGGCCCGUCCGCCGGCGUCGGUCACGACCGCCGCGGGCGCGCCGUCAGGCUCGGAGCCCGUGCCGAAGAAUCGAUGCCAACGACGCUCACCUGUC